CCUACGGGGUGCAGCAGUGGGGAAUAUUGGGCAAUGGGCGCAAGCCUGACCCAGCAACGCCGCGUGAAGGAAGAAGGCUUUCGGGUCGUAAACUUCUUUUGUCAGGGAAGAGUAGAAGACGGUACCUGACGAAUAAGCCACGGCUAACUACGUGCCAACAGCCGCGGGUAUCUGUAGGUGGCAAGCGUUGUCCGGAUUUACUGGGUGGAAAGGGCGUGUAGCCGGGUUGACAAGUGAGAUGUGAAAUCCUGCGGCUUAACCGCAGAACUGCAUUUGAAAUUGGUGAUCUUGAGUACUGGAGAGGCAGACGGAAUUCCUAGUGUAGCGGUGAAAUGCGUAGAUAUUAGGAGGAACACCAGUGGCGAAAGCGGUCUGCUGGACAGCAACUGACGGUGAGGCGCGAAAGCGUGGGGAGCAAACAGGAUUAGAUACCCUUGUAGUC
rnacentral:rRNA from 1 species